rnacentral:rRNA from 1 species
CCUACGGGUGGCUGCAGUGGGGAAUAUUGGACAAUGGGGGCAACCCUGAUCCAGCCAUGCCGCGUGUGUGAAGAAGGCCCUCGGGUUGUAAAGCACUUUCAGUGAGGAAGAACGCCUGGUGGUUAAUACCCAUCAGGAAAGACAUCACUCACAGAAGAAGCACCGGCUAACUCCGUGCCAGCAGCCGCGGUAAUACGGAGGGUGCGAGCGUUAAUCGGAAUUACUGGGCGUAAAGCGCGCGUAGGUGGCUUGAUAAGCCGGUUGUGAAAGCCCCGGGCUCAACCUGGGAACGGCAUCCGGAACUGUCAAGCUAGAGUGCAGGAGAGGAAGGUAGAAUUCCCGGUGUAGCGGUGAAAUGCGUAGAGAUCGGGAGGAAUACCAGUGGCGAAGGCGGCCUUCUGGACUGACACUGACACUGAGGUGCGAAAGCGUGGGUAGCAAACAGGAGUAGAUACCCUUGUAGUC